GUUUGAUUAUGUGUCUCAGUGUUGAUCUCUUUGAGUUCAUCUUAUUUGGAGUUUGUCGAGCUUGUUGAAUAUUUAUAGUCAUGUCUUUCAUCAAAUUGGGAAAUUUUCAUCCAUUAUUUUUUCAAAUAUUCUAUUUUACUCUUUCUCUCCUCUACCACUUUUGUUUUCCACAAUGCAUAUGUUGGCUUAUUUGAUGAUAUUCCAUAUAUCCUUUAGGCUCUGUUAAUUUUCUGUACUCUCUUUCCUUUCUGUUCCUCAGACUUGAUUCCAUUGUCCUAUCUUUAUGUUUGCUGAUCCUUUCUUCUUCUUGCUUUAAUCUGCCUUGAAUACAUGUGAUGAUUAUUUCUUUUCAGUUAGUAUAAUUUUCAGCUCCAAAAUUUCUUUUUGGUUUCUUUUUAGGUUUUCUAUCUCUUUAUUAAUAUUUCCAUAUUGUUCAUACAUGUGUUUAUUACUUUCUCCACAUCUUCCUUUAGUUCUGUGAACAUCUUUUAGACAGUAGUUUUAAAGUCUUUGUCUAGUAGAUUUGCCAUUAGGUCUAAUUCAAGGACAGUGCCUGUUGAAUAAUUUUUUUUCUUUGAACAGGCCAUGCCUUCCUGUUUUUCUUUUUUUGUUGGUGGUGUGAUUUUAUUGUUGUAAAUGAUAUUUGAAUAUAAUAAUACACUAACUCUGGAAAUCAGAGUCUCUGUUUACCUGGGUUUGCUGUUUUCUGUUGUUUUGUGUAUGUUUUUUAUUGUUGUAGGCUGUCUCUACAAGAAGGAUCAGCCUGAGGUGUAAAUUUAAAGUCUUCUGAGGUCUUCUCUCAGCCUGUACCUUUUUCUGGGCAUACAUAGUCACUUUCUAAUUUUCCCCAUAUGUGCAGUUGCUUUUGAAUGUCCUAGUCUAUACUAUUUGGUUAUCAAAAGGGGAAAAACAAAAAUUAACAGAUGUGAGGAAAGACCAGUGGCCCUUUACAUCCCUUAGAAGUCACUUCAGCCUGAGGGGCAGGGGCCUGCAACAAUGGGGAGAGGUACAACAAUAAUGGCUGCCCACCUCUUUGUCUGCACCUUUGCGGUCAGAGCAGCAAUUAGGGAUUCGACACAGAUUGCUGAUAUUUGAAGACAGGGUUGUUUUUGCCCACCCUGGCUCCUUCCAACUGUGUGAAAGCUGCUUCAGGACCAUGUGCACAGCUGCCUGCUGCAUUGCUGGGCGCACUGCCUGCCACAUUGCUACUGAGGUAAGAGCUGAAAUGGACUGAAAUUAGCUACAAUUUACUGUCUAAGCCUUCUUUCUGGGAAUUGCAAGCCUUCAAUACACUCCAGAGUUCCAAAAUAGUUACAUAAGACAGAUUCUCCCAGUGCAAUUUUUGUCUAGGUGGGAGACAUCUUUCUGAUGCUUCCAACUCUUCCCAGAACCCUCUCAACAAUGGUGUUUUGGAAGAAAUUAAGCUUUAGCUAUUACAUGUAAAGAUAACUAUCAUAUGACUAAGGAAAGCUCCCUGGAUUUUCCUAAGCAAGUAUCUUCUCUCCUUGGCUUCACUACAAGGAGAAGAUGGCAUCAGAGUAUAACGUAUUUCUCAACGCAUGCCUAAAAAACAGUCAUUCACCAUCCUGGUUAGAUAUAAGAAUCACCUGCAAAGUUCUUUCUAAAAAUAUAGGGUUUCUGUAUCUGAUAAAUCAGAACUUUUAGGGAAUGGGAGUGGGAGGGCUUAAAAAUUCUCUCAAGUAAUUCUAAUGCAUAUAAGAAUUGAUUAUGAGUCACUAGAUUCUAGAAGAAGAGAGGUCUCUUACUCUGUGAAAGACAGAGGCAGAAAGAGGAAGUCACCUUGUGAUAAUCUGGUCAUUGGGAAAGGCACAGAGAUAAGUCGAGCUAUACUUCUUACAUUAAAUACAUUUUCGUGGAUGUUUGAUGAGGGGCCAGAAAGUGUUACCCAAUGAACCUCCAUGGUACCAAAUACAAUCAAGCUUGUCCCAGGUUUCUACUGUACAAUUUCUCAUUGAAAACUGCCUCAGCAUUUUUUAAGAAGACAUCACUUCCCCCUUGGGGAAGAAAGAACUCAAUGACUUGAAGAAACUGAUGCUUCAGGUACCUUGAAAAAUUCAGCUGGUUUUGAUGAGAAACAGUCAAUGGGGCUGUUAGGGGUCCUGGCGGAUGCUUAGGCAGUGGCUGUCCUGGAUUCCAGGGAAUGCCCCAAACCCAGUGAUGCAGGACCCAGGACUCCAUCUGCUCAUUCUUCAUAAGGUUGGCUCACAGGUCAUCUGCUGAGAAGGUCAUCUUCUCCGUCUUCACUGGGCUCACUGAAUGAGGACAUUCCAAGAUCCCAGCUCAUCUCAUUUGAGCUUUCCUUUUCCUAAUCCCAUGCAUCUGUGUUUGAGAAAAUCUUCCCAAGUGAUAGAUCUUCUAUUUUCCGAUUUCUUCCAUGUUGUAUUACUUUUUUUAUUAAUAAUAAUAAAUACACAUAUUUUUGGUGUGUACAUG
rnacentral:lncRNA from 1 species